rnacentral:rRNA from 1 species
UACGUAGGGUGCGAGCGUUAAUCGGAAUUACUGGGCGUAAAGCGUGCGCAGGCGGUUUUGUAAGCCAGAUGUGAAAUCCCCGGGCUCAACCUGGGAAUGGCAUUUGGGACUGCAAGGCUGGAGUGCGGCAGAGGAGACUGGAAUUCCUGGUGUAGCAGUGAAAUGCGUAGGUAUCAGGAGGAAUACCGAUGGCGAAGGCAGGUCUCUGGGCUGACACUGACGCUCAUGCACGAAAGCGUGGGGAGCAAACAGG